UUCCGGUUGAUCCCGCCGGACCUGACUGCUAUCGGAUUGAUACUAAGCCAUGCGAGUCUUUGCAGUAAUGCAAGGCAUACGGCUCAGUAACACGUAGUCAACUUACCCUAUGGACGAGGAUAAUCUCGGGAAACUGAGCAUAAUACUCGAUAGAUCAUAAUGCCUGGAAUGGUUUAUGGUUGAAAUGAUUCGUCGCCAUAGGAUGGGACUGCGGCCUAUCAGCUUGUUGGUGAGGUAAUGGCCCACCAAGGCGAUUACAGGUACGGGCUCUGAGAGGAGAAGCCCGGAGAUGGGUACUGAGACAAGGACCCAGGCCCUAUGGGGCGCAGCAGGCGAGAAAACUUUGCAAUGUGCGAAAGCACGACAAGGUUAAUCCGAGUGAUUUCUGCUAAAGAAAUCUUUUGCAAGUCAUAAAACCACUAGUGAAUAAGGGGUGGGCAAGUUCUGGUGUCAGCCGCCGCGGUAAAACCAGCACCUCAAGUGGUCAGGAGGAUUAUUGGGCCUAAAGCAUCCGUAGCCGGCUCUGUAAGUUUUCGGUUAAAUCCAUGUGCUCAACGCAUGGGCUGCCGAAAAUACUGCAUAGCUAGGGAGUGGGAGAGGUAGACGGUACUCAGUAGGAAGGGGUAAAAUCCUUUGAUCUAUUGAUGACCACCUGUGGCGAAGGCGGUCUACCAGAACACGUUCGACGGUGAGGGAUGAAAGCUGGGGGAGCAACCGGAUUAGAUACCCGGGUAGUCCCAGCUGUAAACGAUGCAGACUCGAUGAUGCAUUGGCAUAUAGCCAGUGCAGUGUCGCAGGGAAGCCGUUAAGUCUGCCGCCUGGGAAGUACGUACGCAAGUAUGAAACUUAAAGGAAUUGGCGGGGGAGCACCACAAGGGGUGAAGCCUGCGGUUCAAUUGGAGUCAACGCCGGG
rnacentral:rRNA from 1 species